GGGGAUUUAGCUCAGCAGCAUAAGCGUCUGCCUGGCAAGCACAAGGUCAUGAAUUCAAUUUUCAGUACCUCCC
rnacentral:tRNA from 1 species